CAUCCCAGGGGGGUCCCUCUGGUGCAGGGGGUCCGACAGGGUGGUGAGGAGGGUCUGGGUGUGCGGGCUUGGGGAACGCAGGAGCAGGGGACUGGACAUCCUGGCCAACACCUCCUCAGGCAGAGAUGGAGGAGAGGUAGGGAGCUAAGAGAGGUGAUGAGAGGUAAUGUCGGGGAGGGAGGGCGGAGCAGGAAGAGGUAAUGUCGGGCAGGGAGGACGGAGCAGGAAGAGGUAAAGUUGUGGAGGGAGGACGGAGCAGGAAGAGGUAAAGUUGUGGAGAGAGGACGGAGCAGGAAGAGGUAAAGUUGUGGAGAGAGGACGGAGCAGGAAGAGGUAAAGUUGUGGAGAGAGGACGGAGCAGGAAGAGGUAAAGUUGUGGAGGGUGGACGGAGCAGGAAGAGGUAAAGUUGUGGAGAGAGGACGGAGCAGGAAGAGGUAAAGUUGUGGAGAGAGGACGGAGCAGGAAGAGGUAAAGUUGUGGAGGGAGGAUGGAGCAGGAAGAGGUAAAGUUGUGGAGAGAGGACGGAGCAGGAAGAGGUAAAGUUGUGGAGAGAGGACGGAGCAGGAAGAGGUAAAGUUGUGGAGAGAGGACGGAGCAGGAAGAGGUAAAGUUGUGGAGGGAGGACGGAGCAGGAAGAGGUAAAGUUGUGGAGAGAGGACGGAGCAGGAAGAGGUAAAGUUGUGGAGAGAGGACGGAGCAGGAAGAGGUAAAGUUGUGGAGAGAGGACGGAGCAGGAAGAGGUAAAGUUGUGGAGGGAGGACGGAGCAGGAAGAGGUAAAGUUGUGGAGAGAGGACGGAGCAGGAAGAGGUAAAGUUGUGGAGAGAGGACGGAGCAGGAAGAGGUAAAGUUGUGGAGAGAGGACGGAGCAGGAAGAGGUAAAGUCGGGGAGAGAGGACGGAGCAGGAAGAGGUAAAGUCGGGGAGAGAGGACGGAGCAGGAAGAGGUAAAGUCGGGGAGAGAGGACGGAGCAGGAAGAGGUAAAGUUGUAAGAAGAGAGGACGGAGCAGGAAGAGGUAAAGUUGUAAGAAGAGAGGACAGAGCAGGAAGAGGUAAAGUCGGGGAGAGGACGGAGCAGGAAGAGGUAAAGUUGUGGAGAGAGGACGGAGCAGGAAGAGGUAAAGUUGUAAGAAGAGAGGACGGAGCGGGAAGAGGUAAAGUUGUAAUAAUAGAGGACGGAGCAGGAAGAGGUAAAGUCGGGGAGAGGACGGAGCAGGAAGAGGUAAAGUUGUAAGAAGAGAGGACGGAGCAGGAAGAGGUAAAGUUGUAAGAAGAGAGGACGGAGCAGGAAGAGGUAAAGUUGUAAGAAGAGAGGACGGAGUAGGAAGAGGUAAAGUUGUAAGAAGAGAGGACGGAGCGGGAAGAGGUAAAGUUGUAAGAAUAGAGGACGGAGCAGGAAGAGGUAAAGUCGGGGAGAGGACGGAGCAGGAAGAGGUAAAGUUGUGGAGAGAGGACGGAGCAGGAAGAGGUAAAGUUGUGGAGAGAGGACGGAGCAGGAAGAGGUAAAGUCGGGGAGAGAGGACGGAGCAGGAAGAGGUAAAGUCGGGGAGAGAGGACGGAGCAGGAAGAGGUAAAGUCGGGGAGAGAGGACGGAGCAGGAAGAGGUAAAGUUGUAAGAAGAGAGGACGGAGCAGGAAGAGGUAAAGUUGUAAGAAGAGAGGACAGAGCAGGAAGAGGUAAAGUCGGGGAGAGGACGGAGCAGGAAGAGGUAAAGUUGUGGAGAGAGGACGGAGCAGGAAGAGGUAAAGUUGUGGAGAGAGGACGGAGCAGGAAGAGGUAAAGUCGGGGAGAGAGGACGGAGCAGGAAGAGGUAAAGUUGUAAGAAGAGAGGACGGAGCGGGAAGAGGUAAAGUCGGGGAGGGAGGACGGAGCAGGAAGAGGUAAAGUCGGGGAGAGAGGACGGAGCAGGAAGAGGUAAAGUCGUGGAGAGAGGACGGAGCAGGAAGAGGUAAAGUCGUGGAGAGAGGACGGAGCAGUAAGAGGUAAAGUCGUGGAGAGAUGACGGAGCAGGAAGAGGUAAAGUCGGGGAGAGAGGACGGAGCAGGAAGAGGUAAAGUUGGGGAGGGAGGACGGAUCAGGAAGAGGUAAAGUCGGGGAGAGAGGACGGAGCGGGAAGAGGUAAAGUUGUGGAGAGAGGACGGAGCAGGAAGAGGUAAAGUUGUAAGAAGAGAGGACGGAGCGGGAAGAGGUAAAGUUGUAAUAAUAGAGGACGGAGCAGGAAGAGGUAAAGUCGGGGAGAGGACGGAGCAGGAAGAGGUAAAGUUGUGGAGAGAGGACGGAGCAGGAAGAGGUAAAGUUGUAAGAAGAGAGGACGGAGCAG